UGGGGAAUAUUGCACAAUGGGGGAAACCCUGAUGCAGCGACGCCGCGUGAAGGAAGAAGUAUCUCGGUAUGUAAACUUCUAUCAGCAGGGAAGAUAGUGACGGUACCUGACCAAGAAGCCCCGGCUAACUACGUGCCAGCAGCCGCGGUAAUACGUAGGGGGCAAGCGUUAUCCGGAUUUACUGGGUGUAAAGGGAGCGUAGACGGUGUGGCAAGUCUGAUGUGAAAGGCAUGGGCUCAACCUGUGGACUGCAUUGGAAACUGUCAUACUUGAGUGCCGGAGGGGUAAGCGGAAUUCCUAGUGUAGCGGUGAAAUGCGUAGAUAUUAGGAGGAACACCAGUGGCGAAGGCGGCUUACUGGACGGUAACUGACGUUGAGGCUCGAAAGCGUGGGGAGCAAACAGG
rnacentral:rRNA from 1 species